rnacentral:rRNA from 1 species
AGUGAACGCUGGCGGCGUGCCUAACACAUGCAAGUCGAAGGUAGUGGCGCACGGGUGAGUAAUAUAUAGCUGAUCUGCCCCUUGCUGGAGGACAAAAGUUAGAAAUGACUGCUAAUACCCCAUAGCACGGGAUGAGACUAUAUCGUAUCAGCUAGUCGGUGGGGUAACGGCCGACCGAGGCUAUGACGCGUAACAGGUCUGAGAGGAUGAUCAGUCACAUUCGACGGGAGGCACCAGCGAAGCUCCUACGGCAGGCGGCAGUAGGGAAUAGUGCGCAAGGGGGGAAUCCCAAGCGCAGCAACGGCGCGUGGAGGAUGACACGUGGGGAGGCGUGAACUCCUUUUAUUAGGGAUACGGUACCUAACGAAGAAGCACCGGCUAACUCCGUGCCAGCAGCCGCGGUAAUAC